rnacentral:tRNA from 1 species
GCCGGGGUGCUGGAAUGGUAGACAGUCCAGUCUCAAAAACUGGUGGCCUCAAAGCCGUGAGGGUUCGACUCCCUCCCCCGGCACCA